rnacentral:rRNA from 1 species
AUUGAACGCUGGCGGCAUGCCUUACACAUGCAAGUCGAACGGCAGCACGGGUGCUUGCACCCGGUGGCGAGUGGCGAACGGGUGAGUAAUACAUCGGAACAUGCCCUGUAGUGGGGGGUAGCCCGGCGAAAGCCGGAUUAAUACCGCAGACGAAUUACGGAUGAAAGCGGGGGACCUUCGGGCCUCGCGCUUUAGGGUUGGCCGUAAGCUGAUUAGCUAGUUGGUGGGGUAAAGGCCUACCAAGGCGACGAUCAGUAGCCGGUCUGAGAGGACGACCAGCCACACUGGAACUGAGACACGGCCCAGACUCCUACGGGAGGCAGCAGUGGGGAAUUUUGGACAAUGGGCGAAAGCCUGAUCCAGCAAUGCCGCGUGUGUGAAGAAGGCCUUCGGGUUGUAAAGCACUUUUGUCCGGAAAGAAAUCCUUGGCUCUAAUACAGUCGGGGGAUGACGGUACCGGAAGAAUAAGCACCGGCUAACUACGUG